GUGCCUGUAGCUCAACGGCAGAGCGCCUGACUGUGGCUCAGGAGGUUGUGGGUUCGAAACCCAUCAGGCACCCCA
rnacentral:tRNA from 1 species